AGACACCUAUCUGUGAGAAACUGCAAAAGUAGAGCCACCUAAAUGGAGAUGGGGAGGAGGUGGAAGAAAUAAAGCACAGACAAUGUUACCAAGUGCCCUAAAGACCCCUAACAUUUCAUCUUGGAAACAAAAUACAACCAGGCUGAUCGCCACACAUAGGUAGGUAGUGGCGAAGAGCAAGACCCAAGGGAAGGUAAUGAACAGCCCCUGAUAAGCUUUGACUGCAGAUGGAACAGUGGCAACAUCCUUUCUUGGGAAAAAGAAAGAAGCAAGAAGACCUUAAAGAAAAUGUUUCCUUGGAGUCCAGCAUGAGUUUUGCUCAGAACAGUCUUCUGGAGCAGAUAAGUCGGGCAGAGGUCAAACAGGGUUUGGUGGCGUCACUGAUGAGUUUCUGCUUCAGACAGGGACGUCAUAUGAGCUGUUAGGGAUAGAUUUUACUCCAGAUUCCCAGCAUUUCAUGCUUCUCUUGCACAUUUAAAGCCUAUCCCAAAGUUUUUCAGCUUAAAGACAUAUUCAAAUUGCCAUUUAUAGCUGAUGCCCUACUGCAUUCCUUUAUUCUACUGCAAGGCAAAGUCUUUGGCAAUGUCAGUGAGUCCCUGUUGGAAGGGAAGCCAGAAGAGGCUGCAGUGGAAGCUCUUUGUCCAUACAUUCCAGAGGAAGCCCUCAGGCUAUUUGCUUGCCCUGAAACAUUAAUCAAUUGUUAUGGUGUAGGGGCCAGCUGUGUAUUGGCCUUCUACUGAUGCUGUAACAACCCUAUCAGUGUUAUAAUAUGUUAGACCUAAUUAAUUUUCCCUGGUUGCCACCACCUGGUUCUGCUUAGAUCAAGCAUUAAUGAGUAGCUGACAGUAGUUAAUGAGCUUCUGCAGCAAGCAAUUCAAUUUUUUCAGUGACUAAAAUUACUUAUUUCUUCUUGGCACUAUGCUCCCCCUCCCUGGAAUAUUUGGCACCAUGAGCUCUCUAUUGGGUCAGGCAGGAUCCAUCUCCAUCAGUAAGAGCCUGCAGCAGUGCGUGCUGUCCAGAACUGCCCUCCUCCACUGAGCAGGGGAGCUGUGCUUUUGUCCACAGCUUUCCACACUGGUCUGCAGACCAGUUCAGGUCUUUUACUGGUGACAUGCCCAGCCAGCCAACCCAAGCAGUCCAUGCUCUGCAGCCAUGGUAUCACCUUCCUUGCAGUGAUGGGCUUUGUAAUAGUGCUUUUGGUGAGUCCUGCUCUGGCAGGGCUACUAUGGUAGGUCUUCCUCAGUUGUCCAAUAGAAUCAUGGAAUGGUUUGGAAUGGAAGUGAUUUUAAGAUUAUCCAGUUCCAAUCCCACUGCCAUAGGCACGGGCACCUUCCACUAGACCAGGUUAUUCAGAGCCCCAUCCAACCUGGCCUUGAAUACUUUCAGGGAUGGAAUUUUCAAUAUGGAAUGGUUUGGAAUGGAAGUGACUUUAAGAUCAUCCAGUUCCAAUCCCACUGUCAUAGGCAGGGACACCUUCCACUAGACCAGGUUGUUCAGAGCCCCAUCCAGCCAGGCCUUGAAUACUUUCAGGGAUGGAAUUUUCAAUAAUAAAGAUUUUGGUAUGGAUU